rnacentral:rRNA from 1 species
GUCUCGGCCACGCCACCCUGAACGAGCCCCAUGUCUGACCUCGGAAGCUCAGCAGGGUUGGGCCUGGUUAGUACUUGGAUGGAAGACCACCCAGGAAGACCAGGUGCUGCAGGCA